rnacentral:rRNA from 1 species
CAGGGAUUGCCCUAGUAACGGCGAGUGAAGCGGCAACAGCUCAAAUUUGAAAUCUGGCCUUCUGGUCCGAAUUGUAAUUUGUAGAGGAUGCUUUUGGCGCGGUGCCUUCCGAGUUCCCUGGAACGGGACGCCUUAGAGGGUGAGAGCCCCGUACGGUUGGACACCAAGCCUCUGUAAAGCUCCUUCGACGAGUCGAGUAGUUUGGGAAUGCUGCUCUAAAUGGGAGGUAAAUUUCUUCUAAAGCUAAAUACCGGCCAGAGACCGAUAGCGCACAAGUAGAGUGAUCGAAAGAUGAAAAGCACUUUGAAAAGAGGGUUAAAUAGCACGUGAAAUUGUUGAAAGGGAAGCGUUUACGACCAGACUUUUUCCAGGCGGAUCAUCCGGUGUUCUCACCGGUGCACUUCGCCUGGUUUAGGCCAGCAUCGGUUUCUGUAGGGGGAUAAAAGCUUUGGGAAAGUAGCUCCCUCCGGGGAGUGUUAUAGCCCGCUGCAUAAUACCCUUAUGGGGACCGAGGAUCGCGCUCUGCAAGGAUGCUGGCAUAAUGGUCGUCAACGACCCGUCUUGAAACACGGACCAAGGAGUCGAACAUUUGUGCGAGUGUUUGGGUGUUAAACCCUCACGCGUAAUGAAAGUGAACGGAGGUGAGAGCCCUUACGGGUGCAUCAUCGACCGAUCCUGAUGUCUUCGGAUGGAUUUGAGUAAGAGCAUAACUGUUCGGACCCGAAAGAUGGUGAACUAUGCGUGGAUAGGGUGAAGCCAGAGGAAACUCUGGUGGAGGCUCGCAGCGGUUCUGACGUGCAAAUCGAUCGUCAAAUCUGCGCAUGGGGGCGAAAGACUAAUCGAACCAUUGAGAAACCAGCGGUAAAAUAUUAUUUACUAGGUGGUUAAGAGGCUCUUUGAAAGAAAGAGGCCUAGGUUGUGUACCCUAUAAAGUUACCCUGUAGUAACCGGUACGCGACCGACACCGCUAAAUUGCGGGGACAUCCUAUUUAAGGCCACGGGCUACCGCCGGCCGCUGAAAAGCGGCCUGGCAACCGAGAGUAGCGCUCUCGGGUAUGGUAAUAACGCCUGUGGUAGCGGACGACCUGCAGCCAACCCCGUGUUCAGGGGAGAGUUCACUGACUAGACAGCGGUGGGUUGGCCUUAUGGCCGGCCUAAGACAUAGUCGAUCCGGGCCCUGAAAAGGAACCCCUAAUAA